rnacentral:tRNA from 1 species
UUAAUUGAAACCAAAGUUGAGGUAACUUAUUGUUAAUAAGAAUAUUGAAUAUUAUUAAUUCCAAUUAAA